rnacentral:rRNA from 1 species
UGGCUCAGGACGAACGCUUGCGGCGUGCCUAAGAAAUGCAAGUCGAGCGGGGGGUAGCAAUACCCCUAGCGGCGAACGGUCGCGUAACACGUAAGCAACCUGCCCCCAGGACCGGGACAAGCCUGCGAAAGCGGGUCUAAUACCGGAUGUGGCCGCUUUCUGGCAUCAGAGAGUGAUUAAACCGUGCGUUCACGCGUGCGGCCUGGGGAGGGGCUUGCGGCCUAUCAGCUAGUUGGUGGGGUAACGGCCUACCAAGGCGACGACGGGUAGCUGGUCUGAGAGGACGAUCAGCCGGACUGGGACUGAGAUACGGCCCAGACUCCUACGGGGGGCAGCAAUUAGGAAUCUUGCGCAAUGGGGGAAACCCUGACGCAGCGACGCCGCGUGGAGGAGGAAGUCCUUCGGGAUGUAAACUCCUUUUGCGAGGGAAGAAACGAAUGACGGUACCUCGCGAAUAAGCCCCGGCUAACUACGUGCCAGCAGCCGCGGUAAUACGUAGGGGGCGAGCGUUGUCCGAAGUUACUGGGCGUAAAGCGCGCGUAGGCGGGGGAGUAAGUGAGAGGUGAAAGGCUAGGGCUCAACCCGAGCAGUGCCUCUCAUACUGCUCUUCUUGAGGGCGGUAGGGAGAAGUGGAAUGGCUGGUGUAGCGGUGAAAUGCGUAGAUAUCAGUCGGAACACCGGUGGCGAAGGCGGCUUCUUGGGCCGUACCUGACGCUGAGGCGCGAAAGCCAGGGGAGCGAACGGGAUUAGAUACCCCGGUAGUCCUGGCCGUAAACGAUGGAUACUAGGUGUCGGGGGUAUCGACCCCUCCGGUGCCGCAGCUAACGCACUAAGUAUCCCGCCUGGGGAGUACGGCCCGCAGGUUGAAACUCAAAG